AGGUACAACGAAUGUAGCCAGUCAAGAUAAGUCAAGAGUAAUUAAUACUAGGGGUGUAAAUCGCGGGUUUUGUCACGAUACGAUAUAUCGAUACUGUGGUGAAUGGUCUUUGUUGUUUCGCUGGUCCCCAAAAAAAACACUCAGUGGACGAUGGCUGGUCCGGGUAAGGAAGCACUUCGGUGACACACGGCUGAUUGGGAAAAGAUUUAUUCAACCGAUGUCAAAGUGGCCCCAGGAGCAAAGAUGUUUCAGCUCUCGACAGCACAGAUGUUCGCCCCAAAAAGGCCCUCGCGCUUCUUGCUCUUGCCCCUUGCGCCCCUUGCGCCCCUGCUCUUGUCCUUCGCCCUCUGCGCGCCUUCUGCGCUUCUUGCGCUUCGCGCUCCCGUUCCUCUCUAUCUGUUCUCCCCCAUCAUUUGUACCUCGUAAGACAACAGCUGCGGUCCGAGUCUCACUCUACUGGUUACUUCCGAUGCCCGUAAAAGGGCAUGGACAAAGGUCUUCUUGGUCACGGACAAAUAGCCCUUCCAUAUUCUAAGUACCUACACAUUACUGAAACUAGAGCUUCUCUGUACCGCAAAAAUAGCUUAGGGUCUUCUCACUGCUGCAAGGUCGCCAUUUAAGGUGACAUACAGUGACGCAUAGAAUCCAAAAUUUACCUCAAUACAAAGAACCACGAUACGAUAUUUGCCGAUAUCUUAAAACCUGCUGUGAUUCAUUCACGAUACAUCGCGAUAUAGUACUCUACGAUCGAUAUAUAUUUUUUAUAUAUAAAAAAUAUAGAACAAUAUCCUGAUUUAUAACAAUUCAUACGCAAAAUCAACAAGGUACUGCAAACUGUAUUUAGGAAAUUACAAGAGUAUUGUAGUAUACAAAGUGCUUAUUUUAACACUGAACUUUGAUGUUGUGUUUUUUCUUUAAAUAUAAAUAUAGAGAUUUGUGGACCCUGAAUAUUUGAUCACCGCAUGGCAGGAUUCUAAGGAUGGCACGUGUCUUGCCCGUUGAGCCAUCUUUUCUUUGGAAUCCAAAGUGCUUCCAAACGAAUGACUUGAAGCCUAAAGGGGAGCAAAUCUCCUCGUCUUUUUGGACACUAGCCAUAGCACCAGCCCAGGAGCCGCGUACUAGUUGUCGACUCCCCUUUCACGUGCCUGCUCUGCUCACAACACAACGCCGCGGCGCACACUGCUCCCGGAAAGAGGAAGCAAGCAACAAUGAACUGGAUUUCAAAUAAAGUCGCGUCUAAUGUCCGAGAAAGAACUACGAUACGAUAUUUGCCGAUAUCUUAAAGCCUGCUGCGAUUCAUUCACGAUAUAUCACGAUAUAGUGCUCUACGAUCGAUAUAUAUAUAUUUUUUUAUAAAAAAUAUAGAACAAUAUCCUGAUUUAUAACAAUUCAUACGCAAAAUCAACAAGGUACUGCAAACUCUUUAUUUAAGAAAUUACAAGAGUAUUGCAGUAUACAAAGUGCUUAUUUUAACACUGAACUUUGACGUCGUGUUUUUUCUUUAAAUGUGCGGCGAGAUUUGUACUCCCUGAAUAUUUGAUCACCGCAUGGCAGGAUUCUAAGGAUGGCACGUGUCUUGCCCGUUGAGCCAUCUUUUCUUUGGAAUCCAAAGUGCUUCCAAACGAAUGACUUGAAGCCUAAAGGGGAGCAAAUCUCCUCGUCUUUUUGGACACUAGCCAUAGCACCAGCCCAGGAGCCGCGUACUAGUUGUCGACUCCCCUUUCACGUGCCUGCUCUGCUCACAACACAACGCCGCGGCGCACACUGCUCCCGGAAAGAGGAAGCAAGCAACAAUGAACUGGAUUUCAAAUAAAGGCGCGUCUAAUGUCCGAGAAAGAACUACGAUACGAUAUUUGCCGAUAUCUUAAAGCCUGCUGCGAUUCAUUCACGAUAUAUCGCGAUAUAGUGCUCUACGAUCGAUAUAUAUAUUUUUUUUAUAAAAAAUAUAGAACAAUAUCCUGAUUUAUAACAAUUCAUACGCAAAAUCAACAAGGUACUGCAAACUCUUCAUUUAGGAAAUUACAAGAGUAUUGCAGUAUACAAAGUGCUUAUUUUAACACUGAACUUUGACGUCGUGUUUUUUCUUUAAAUGUGCGGCAAGAUUUGUGGUCCCUGAAUAUUUGAUCACCGCAUGGCAGGAUUUACAAACUGCACGUGUCUUGCCCGUUGAGCCAUCUUUUCUUUGGAAUCCGAAGUGCUUCCAAACGAACGACUUGAAGCCUAAAGGGGAGCAAAUAUCCUCGUCUUUUUGGACACUAGCCAUAGCACCAGCCCAGGAGCCGCGUACUAGUUGUCGACUCCCCUUUCACGUGCCUGCUCUGCUCACAACACAACACACCGCUCACUGCUCCCGGAAAGAGGGCCCCGCCCCCCUUUUCUUGUCUUCCGGGUUAGAGCAACGCUGGCGUCUGGACUGUUAACUGCCGCUUCUACCCCGUACCGUGUCCGCUACUUGUUUGUCCCCCGUCUGUUUUGUGUUUCCCGUUUUAAGUGUGCCCGUUUUUUCUUUUAUUUUCUCGCCUUUUCUCCUGCCCACCGCGUAUCUCUGGAGCUCUGCUCGCACCUCUCCGAUCCCGCUCCCUCUGACUACGAGCUACGCUAGCCAGCUAGCCAACCCACCACCGGACCCUCCUACCUCCCGGCUCUGAGCCUGUAGCUGCUUGCUCUUGGCUCGGCAAACGGCUCCAACCCAACUUGCUGGCCACUUGGCCGGCGUCCUCGGGGGGGGAGCACCCGCUCGCUGCGAGCUCGCCGGUCGUGGCUCGGCGGUGUGCCGCCAUGACACACUUGGGCGUGCCGUUUGCACGGGUACAGUCGGGAUUGACCAACACCACCACCCACUCCAUCAACAUCACGACUCGGUCCACUGCUGCUUCCAUGCAUUUCACUGCCUACCAACUUCUAGUUAACCAGCUACUAGCCAUUUCUACCAUCUUAUCUGGAUUAUUCCCUGCUGCUGUCACGUCUCAUCUCCUGCAUGAACUAUCACUUCUGCUACUCCAGGCUUCCAUUCCACUAACUUCUCGUCCAUUUGUCUACACUGCUGCUGAUCUUCAUCAUUUCUACAAUAAUCACCGUCUCCCUGCUGCUGCUGCCUCAGCUGCCAGCAAGGCUGGGAUCCUCCACCGUCGCCGCUACAUCCACCGUAGCUCCGGACUAUCUUUUAAACGACAUUUCCCUGAUGGCUCACCCAUCCCCUCUUUCUGGACUUACUCUCGCCCCCCCGUCACCCCCACCUUCCGUACUGUGAACUUCAACAAUCUCCGUUCCCCCACCCCCGCUCCUUCAUCCAUCACCCUUGCACUGCUGAACUGUCGCUCCCUCUCCAACAAAUCACUAGUUAUUUUCGAACUAAUAUUGGACAAUAAUUUGGAUCUGCUCCUUCUCUGUGAAACAUGGCAACAGCCCCUGGACUAUUUUUCUCUCAACCAAGCCACUCCGUCUAACUACAGCUACAUCGCAAAACCCCGCCUCUCUGGGCGAGGAGGUGGUAUUGCUGUCAUCCAUAAGCGGUCCCUAUCAAUCACUGAAUUGGACCUCAACCUCCCAUCUAUUUCAUCCUUUGAAUAUCUCGCUUUUUCCCUCCCCAACUCUACUACUGCUGUUCUUAUCUACCGCCCCCCCAAGUCACAUCCGUCUUUUCUCUCUGAACUCUCUGAACUUCUCACCAUCGUAUCCUCAGUCUCCUAUUGCCUCCUACUAAUCGGUGACUUCAAUAUCCACAUCGACCAGCCAACUGCUCCACUGACGUCUGACUUCAUCUCCGUUCUGGACUGCUUUCAUCUCACCCAGCACAUCAACUUCCCCACCCACACCAAAGGCCACACUCUGGAUAUAGUAUGCUCCUCCUUUCCACUCACAUCCAACCCCCGUCCUCUCACCUUUCCACUGUCAGAUCAUCUCUGCAUCCUCUUCUCCGCCCCUCUGCCCUCGCCUCAUAAAUCCACAAAGCGCACCAUCUCCUACCGCAACAUCAAGACUGUAAACCCAAUCACGCUUUGCCAGGUCUUAUCCUCUGCUCUUCCCUCCGACCCCACUUCUUCCUCCCCUGAUGACCUUGCCACCACGCUCAACAACAUCCUUUCUGACUCCCUUGAUUCCCUAGCCCCCUGGAAAACCUCCUCUGUUACAUUCACUAACUCUGCCCCUUGGUACACACCGGAACUCCGCACCAUGAAACAAACUGGCCGUCAACUCGAACGCCUCUACAAAAGAACCCGCCUCACCGUCCAUUCCGAAACCUUGAAACAACACAUCUCCUCCUAUCGUGAUGCUCUUCUUGCUGCCAAAUCUGCUUACUUCUCAUCUCUCAUUAAUAACACCAACCGAAACCCCCGCAUACUGUUCUCCACCAUCAACAAAUUGCUCCAGCCACCGGUCACUAAGCCACCCUCCUCACCUGCCCUCUGUAACUCCUUCCUUGUCAACUUUAACAACAAAAUCGCCCAAAUCAACAGUUCUCUGACCGACACCAUCAAUAACUCCUCCUCCCCUGCCCUCCUGCCCCCCCCCCCUUCCUGACCUCCCACCCUUUCCCUCUCUCACUGCCUUCUCUCUUGUUGACUCCUCCACUAUCCUAGACAUCAUUACCUCAUCCAAGACAACCACCUGCUCUCUUGACCCUCUUCCAACGACCUUAACUAAGGCCUGCCUCCCUGUCCUCCUCCCCUACCUCACCACUCUUUUUAAUCAGUCUUUAUCCCUAGGCCACUUUCCCACUGUCUAUAAACUUGCAGCCAUCACCCCCAUCCUCAAAAGGCCCACCUUGGACCCACUCAACCUCUCCAACUACCGUCACAUCUCCAACCUUUCAUUCCUUUCCAAAACCCUUGAACGCAUUGUCUCCGCCCAACUCCACACCCAUCUCCAGUCCAACAACCUCUAUGAACCCUUCCAGUCCGGAUUCCGCCCACUUCACGGCACUGAAACAGCUCUAGUUAAAGUCACCAACGAUCUCCUCAUUUCUGCAGACUCUGGUGCCCUCAACAUCCUACUACUACUUGACCUGAGCGCAGCCUUUGACACUGUGAACCAUUCCAUUCUCCUCCAAAGGUUGCGCCAACUAGGUGUUGAGGGCACUGCACUCGACUGGCUCACCUCCUACCUCACCAACAGAAACCAGUUCAUCUCUCUCUCCGGUCACACAUCCAUCCUCUCCCCAGUUACACAAGGGGUCCCCCAAGGCUCAGUUCUUGGCCCCCUCCUAUUCAUCUGUUACCUCUUUCCCCUUGGUACUGUCAUCCGCAAACUCAAUCUGGACUUCCACUGCUACGCUGAUGACACCCAGAUCUAUAUACGUACGACACCAACCAGUAACCCUUCCCUCACCCAUCUUGAAACCUGCAUCUCUACAAUAAAAGCAUGGCUGACCCACAACUUUCUCAAACUCAACAGUGACAAAACAGAGCUCCUCCUCAUAGGCACUAAAUCCUCCCUUAAUAAAACUGGCUCCAUCACACUCACCAUUGACUCCUCAAACAUCACUCCUUCCCCUCUGGCACGCAAUCUUGGCGUUAUUUUCGACCCCACACUGUCCUUUCAACCUCAUGUUAGCUCAGUUGUCAAGACCUCCUACUUCCACCUCCGACGCAUCGCUAAAAUCCGGCACUGCCUUUCUCUCCCUGCCGCUGAAUCUCUCAUCCACGCCUUCAUCUCAUCCCGGCUUGACUACUGCAACUCCCUUCUCACUGGAAUCACUGCUCACUCACUCCAUAGACUUCAACUAGUCCAAAACUCUGCUGCCCGCCUCCUUACCCACACCCGGUCCCGUGAACACAUCACUCCUGUUCUCCACUAUCUUCACUGGCUCAUGAAGGAGCGUAUCAUCUUCAAGAUACUCCUCCUCACCUUCAAAGCCCUUCACCGCCUGGCUCCCACUUACCUAUCCGACCUGCUUGUCCCCUACUGCCCCAACCGUCCCCUCCGAUCCUCCAAUACUUCACGUCUGACAGUCCCAAAAUCCAAACUCAAAUCCUUCGGUGACAGAGCCUUCUCCUGCACAUCACCUCGACUCUGGAACUCUCUCCCCCAGUCUGUCUGUGACUCACCCACACUCCCCAUAUUUAAGUCCCGUCUAAAAACUUACCUCUUCUCCCAAGCUUAUGACCUCCCCUAUCCAUAACUGAUUUCCUCUUCUUAGGUUUAUCCGAUUGUUUCCUUCCCGAUCAUGUAUGUCCUUGCCUUGUUCCCUGUAAGCGUCUUUGGGUUCUUGAAAAGCGCUAUACAAAUUUAAUGAAUUAUUAUUAUUAUUAUUAUUAAGAUGGCCGCUACACUGGGAGUGGGGGUCAAGGGUUGAAUUGUGUAAGCUUAGUGGAAGUGGGGGUGAAUGGGGGUGAAUAUGGUAAGCAUCAGGUGAACAAAGUGAAUAAAGUUCGAAUGGAUUGAAUCGGUCGAAAAAUGUAGAAAUUAAAGUAGCAAAACGAAAUUUUGGAGAAUUUGGUUGAAUUUCAAAUUUGAAAGUUUGGCAUUUUUGGUAAGUGGCAAGUUGUGGAAUAGGUAGGCAAAAAAUGAACAGUUGAAAAUUGGAAUGGAUUGAAUCGGUUGAAAAAUGUAGAAAUUAGAGUAGAAAAACGAAAUUUUGGAGAAUUUGAUUGAAUUCCAAAUUUGGAAUUUUUGGUAAGUGGGAAGUUGUGGAUUAGGUAGGCAAAAGAUGAACAGUUUAAAAUUGGAAUGGGUAGAAUCGGUUGAAAAAUGUAGAAAUUAGACAAGAAAAACGAAAUUUUGGAGAAUCUGGUUGAAUUUCAAAUUUGGAAUUUUUGGUAAAUGGGAAGUUGUGGAAUAAGUAGGCAAAAGAUGAAGAGUUGAAAGUUGGAAUGGAUUAAAUCGGUUGAAAAAUGUAGAAAUUAGAGUAGAAAAACGAGAUUUUGGAGAAGUUGGUUGAAUUUCAAAUUUGGAGUUUUUGGUAAGUGGGAAGUUGAGGAUUAGGUAGGCAAAAGAUGAGCAGUUGAAAAUUGGAAUGGGUAGAAUCGGUUGAAAAAUGUUGAAAUUAGAGAAGAAAAAUGGAAUUUAGGAGAAUUUGGUUGAAUUUCAAAUUUGAAAAAGUGGAAUCUUUGCUAAGUGGGAAGGUGUGGAAUAGGUAGGCAUGUUGAAUCGGUUGAAGUAUGUAGAAAUUAGAAGUGAAAAACGAAAUUUUGCGAAAUAUUUUACAAUAUUAUAAUUUGUGCAAAUUUUAAACAUGAAAACGUGAAAUUUUUGAAUUUGGCAAGUUUGGGAAUGUCCCCAAUGUCAUUUGAAUGUGUUGAAUUAUGUGAAAUUCAAACCACGGUAACUAUCACAACUACUACGAUCUCCCUUGUUCUUGUACAGUGUAACAAUCUUGGCGUCCUUCAUAUCCUGUGGUACUUUGCCGUCUCUCCAACACCAUCACAGGAGUUUGUGGAGUGGUUUCAGAAGCGCUGGUUUUCCGCACUUGAUUAUCUCGGGAGGUAUUCCAUCCGCACCAGGAGACUUCCGACAUGCUAGAGCAUCAAUGGCCUUGGUUGGUCCAUAGUCUAACUCGUCCAUCACUGGAAGGUCUUCUAACGUACUGAUUGCGUCUUGCAAAACUAGCGAUGGAUUGGCAUACAAGUCGAGGUAGUAUUCUACCCAUCUCAUUAGCUGUUUGCUUUUGUCAAUGAUGACUUCACCAGUCUUGGAUUUUAUGGGCGCAUAUUUCUUCACAAAUUUUCCAGUAGCUUGUUUGAUGCCUUCGUACAUUGCCCUGACGUUGCCAUUAGUUGAGGCAUGUUGAAUGGUUUCUGACAGCUGGAGCCAGUAGUCGUUCGGGCAGCGGCGGGCUGUUCUCUGGACGUUACCCCGUGCAGACUUCAGUUCCUGCAAGUUUUUGGUAGAUGGGUGCUGCUUGUACUUGCAGAAUGCUUUGCGUUUGACAUCAAGGACUGACUCCAUUUCGGCAAUGUUCGCCUCACACCAGUCUGUGUUAUUGCGUUCCUUCUUACCUCAGGUCAGAGUUGCUUCCGUCUGAAUGGUAGUGCGGAUAAACUUCCACCUGUCUUCAGCACACUCUCGAUGAUCAUUUGACAGCGUGCUUUCCAGUCUUGCAAUAAACUCGGCGUUCUUGUUUACACAGUUUGUCUUGUCGAUAUUGAUGUGUGGCUGACACUUCGACUUCGAAUGAUGAAACCUCUUGAGCUUAAGAUUCAAUUUGCUCACAAUCAAUGAGUGGUAAGUGUCGCAGUCUGCGCUGUGGUAAGCUCUCGUGUUGCAGACGCUAUUCAAACAAUUACGUCGAGUGACUACAAGGUCAAGUUGAUGCCAGUGUUUUGAUCUCGGAUGUCUCCAAGACACUUUGCGACAUGCCUUGUUUUGAAAGUAAGUGUUGCGAACAGAGCAUAGUUCUAGAAGCCUUUGACCAUUUUCAUUCAUCUUUCCAACGCCGUGACACCUGGUCCGCACCCACCCUCGCAUUGAAGUAACCUAGGACAUAAAGGUGCUCAGAUACAGCGAUUGCACUCAGGAUGGAAUCUAAAGAUUCAUAGAAACUGUCUUUUGUUUCUGCUGUAGCCUGUAGCGUUGGGGCGUAAACACAGAUGAUGUUAGCUGGAUCUUUGGUUGUUGAAAGACGCAUUUUGAGAGUUCUUUCCGUGCCAUUGGUAGGUGGUUCGAUCAUUUCGAUUAAGUGAUUCUUCACGGCGAAGCCCACUCCAUGUUCCUUUGGUUGAUCAUGAUUUUUUUCUUGCCAGAAAAAGGUAUAGUGCUUUUCUUUCAAUGAUCCACUUCCAGACAGUCGUGUUUCCUGUAAAGCAGCGAUGUCUAUAUUCAGCCUGCACAGUUCGCGAUCAAUCACCGCCGUCUUUCGAGUGUCUUGUACUGCUUGAAGAACUUCAGUCAGACCGGGUCUCAUAGUCCGUACAUUCCAGGUACCCAGCUUGAGAGCUGGUAAGAUCCUGUUGUUUAUCUUGUUCACAUGUACAAAGUUAACAAUCUACUUGUCGAGCCUUAACUGUUAGCUCCAGGUACCCUCUGAAGCAGGUAGACCGUGAUGGGUCAGCACCUUACUGACCGGGGGCUGCCCGGCUUUAGGCGGGCAAUAGCUGACCAGUGAGACUUCGAUGGUCUCUCCCACCGUCGAGGACAACCCGUAGCGUCCGACUCUGCAUCAACUGAGCAUGGACUUAUAACUCGUAAACUGCUGCCCUCCGUGUUGUGCUCUCACCAGACGGCGAGGCUGGACUAUCCUCUCCAGGGCGCUAGCCAGGGCAGAAUUUUUGAAGAUCAUGCAUUGCCCAUUAAACAUGACUCCACUCUCGGCUGCACCAACUCGAUCCAAGGGAACGCUGCGCAUUACAUUUGGAGCUGGUUUAGCUGCAGGAGCUGCCGGAGAGAUGUCGACGUCGACUAUCUAACCGUCUUCGGGGCUCCACUCCGAAUUUUUCCUCAGGGUUGUCUCCCGAAGCCUUUCCCGAGAAUAGGUAACACACAAGGCAGUGGGGGUUUGAGAAUCAGGGUUUUCCGUCCCCUAGAUGGAUUGCCCUCCCAAGCUGACGAGCUCCAUCUACCCGAAGCAACUGGUUUUGAGGCACCAGUCACACGCCUUCGCCCCUUCUCCUGUUAGUAGAAGCAGUUCCGUCGGGCUUUGAGUCGAAGCCACGCGUGCAGGCCAGGAGUUGGACUUUGGUUGUCAGAGGCUCUUUGAGACGCAUGCCUUAUGGGAGCUUUUUAUAGGCAGUGGGAGCUUAUCCCCACUACCACCCCCGGCGUAACAACCUUUGGAAUUAUAACUAAUAAUAGUUGAGAAUGGUGUAGAAUAACAUAUGUUUGAGGGCCAUUGCGUUCACACAAUAGACAUCUUUUUCUACAAUAAAAAGCAUAAUAAUUGGACAAUAAAGUUGUAUUUUUUUAAUUCACUAGUUAAAUUAUUGCUUUCACCUCUCUUUAAGAUUUAGAAUCAUUCAUAAUAUCAUGGAAUUAUGUUGGAAAAGCACAACUUUAUUUUUGUAGGAUAUGAGUUUGUUUUUUUAUCCUGGGAAAAAAGAAAAGAAAAGAGGGGGCUCCCUUGACCCAAACAGUUUGCAAAGCCCUGAAUUGGACUUAAUUGCCCUCACUACAUCAACUACUAAAUAGCUCCACCCCCAUCCACACCCAUAGAGGGAUGAGAGAAUUGAGAGUGAGGGAGGCGGGCAAGACUAUAGAUCACUCAGUUGACACGCUCCAGACAGACUGAGAGCAAGUCACAACAAAAUAUGAAGGAAAACUAACAAACUUGAACUUUAUGUAAGAUGGAAAAAAAUAUGGGACGCUUAAAGCCACUCUUCAGGUGAGUGUUUAAUGAUGGUGUGCCUUCUAUUUAUACAAAUGCUGACUUUGGAAGUAUGCUGGUAGUGUGGUGCAAGUUCCUGUGCUAGUUUUAGAUGCAGUAUAAACACUUCCGCUUGUAGCGCCGAUGUAUUUUCUACACACAGUUGAGCCACAGUGGUCCCAGCAACACCCUCAGUCAACAGUCGAGCCGGCCUGAAACCACAAGUCUGUUUGCAGGAUUGGUCAACCGUGCUGCGUGGAUGAGAGCAAAGAUUCCUGAACAUUAUCGAAAAGGCCCAAGAUGGGGGACAAGAGUCAUAUGACGUGACUCGAGGAGCUAUUUUUAUCACUGGCCAACAACUUGGGAACGACUUGGCUUUGGCUUUGACUCGAACUACAUGGCUUGACAAAUCAUCUAUUUUUCAAAGUUUGACAUCUGGAAUUUAACACAGUUGGCCUUAUUAGGACUAUUUUUAUUCUCGAGCUUCACUUGGCUCAACGUGUCAUCAUUUGCGGAGGUGCUGAGAUGCACCUACAAAUCACAGUUUUUAUGUUUUCACAAAGCCACAAAAUGUCCAACAACACUCAGUUUGUGUUUAGCCAAAAUCGUGUCACCACAAUAUGCUCUCCUUCCUCAGAUGAAGAUGAAUGACUGGCUGCUAAGUGGCUUGAAGGGCGAGAUAUACUUUAGCGAUGGGUUAUGUUUCGCAGCAGACCCAGUGAAACCCAUCAACACUGCCUAGAAUGGACGACCCAAUAAAUACUGCACUGAGUCUUCAUAAGUUUAA